rnacentral:rRNA from 1 species
AUUGAACGCUGGCGGCAGGCCUAACACAUGCAAGUCGAGCGGAUGAAGGGAGCUUGCUCCUGGAUUCAGCGGCGGACGGGUGAGUAAUGCCUAGGAAUCUGCCUGGUAGUGGGGGAUAACGUCCGGAAACGGGCGCUAAUACCGCAUACGUCCUGAGGGAGAAAGUGGGGGAUCUUCGGACCUCACGCUAUCAGAUGAGCCUAGGUCGGAUUAGCUAGUUGGUGGGGUAAAGGCCUACCAAGGCGACGAUCUGUAACUGGUCUGAGAGGAUGAACAGUCACACUGGAACUGAGACACGGUCCAGACUCCUACGGGAGGCAGCAGUGGGGAAUAUUGGACAAUGGGCGAAAGCCUGAUCCAGCCAUGCCGCGUGUGUGAAGAAGGUCUUCGGAUUGUAAAGCACUUUAAGUUGGGAGGAAGGGCAGUAAGUUAAUACCGUGCUGUUUUGACGGUACCAACAGAAUAAGCACCGGCUAACUUCGUG